CAGAUUGGGUUAACGGGCGUGGCCGAAGGGAAGGAAAGGAGCUUGGGAAACGCAAAGAAGCAGGACUGAGGGGAGAGUAGAUCUGAAGGCAGGCGCCGAAUUUGAGAAGGUGUAGAAGGCUGGUGGGACGUGAAAGGGCUUGUGUACGGUGGCAGGGGCAUUGGAAAUAUCCUAUACUAUGGAUCCACAAUGGCUGUAGCAACCUGCCUAUUCCUCAAAAAGAAUAUGUUCAAUGAAUGCAGGAAGGCUGAAAGAGUAACGGGGACAAAGCCUAGGACUUGGCCUGUGACUCACCCUCCCUUGAUGUAAUCAACGAAAGUGAAUUCAGAGUCCACAGAGAAGGAGAGCAGCGUCAC